rnacentral:tRNA from 1 species
AGAAGUGUAGUUCAGUGGUAGAAUGUGUGCUUAACAUACACAAGGUCCUGAGUUCCAUUUCUA